GACGAACGCUGGCGGCGUGCCUAAUACAUGCAAGUAGAACGCUGAAGAGAGGAGCUUGCUCUUCUUGGAUGAGUUGCGAACGGGUGAGUAACGCGUAGGUAACCUGCCUUGUAGCGGGGGAUAACUAUUGGAAACGAUAGCUAAUACCGCAUAACAAUGGAUGACACAUGUCAUUUAUUUGAAAGGGGCAAUUGUUCCACUACAAGAUGGACCUGCGUUGUAUUAGCUAGUAGGUGAGGUAAUGGCUCACCUAGGCGACGAUACAUAGCCGACCUGAGAGGGUGAUCGGCCACACUGGGACUGAGACACGGCCCAGACUCCUACGGGAGGCAGCAGUAGGGAAUCUUCGGCAAUGGGGGCAACCCUGACCGAGCAACGCCGCGUGAGUGAAGAAGGUUUUCGGAUCGCAAAGCUCUGUUGUAAGUCAAGAACGGGUGUGAGAGUGGAAAGUUCACACUGUGACGGUAGCUUACCAGAAAGGGACGGCUAACUACGUGCCAGCAGCCGCGGUAAUACGUAGGUCCCGAGCGUUGUCCGGAUUUAUUGGGCGUAAAGCGAGCGCAGGCGGUUUGAUAAGUCUGAAGUUAAAGGCUGUGGCUCAACCAUAGUUCGCUUUGGAAACUGUCAAACUUGAGUGCAGAAGGGGAGAGUGGAAUUCCAUGUGUAGCGGUGAAAUGCGUAGAUAUAUGGAGGAACACCGGUGGCGAAAGCGGCUCUCUGGUCUGUAACUGACGCUGAGGCUCGAAAGCGUGGGGAGCGAACAGGAUUAGAUACCCUGGUAGUCCACGCCGUAAACGAUGAGUGCUAGGUGUUGGAUCCUUUCCGGGAUUCAGUGCCGCAGCUAACGCAUUAAGCACUCCGCCUGGGGAGUACGACCGCAAGGUUGAAACUCAAAGGAAUUGACGGGGGCCCGCACAAGCGGUGGAGCAUGUGGUUUAAUUCGAAGCAACGCGAAGAACCUUACCAGGUCUUGACAUCCCGAUGCUAUUUCUAGAGAUAGAAAGUUACUUCGGUACAUCGGUGACAGGUGGUGCAUGGUUGUCGUCAGCUCGUGUCGUGAGAUGUUGGGUUAAGUCCCGCAACGAGCGCAACCCCUAUUGUUAGUUGCCAUCAUUCAGUUGGGCACUCUAGCGAGACUGCCGGUAAUAAACCGGAGGAAGGUGGGGAUGACGUCAAAUCAUCAUGCCCCUUAUGACCUGGGCUACACACGUGCUACAAUGGUUGGUACAACGAGUUGCGAGUCGGUGACGGCGAGCUAAUCUCUUAAAGCCAAUCUCAGUUCGGAUUGUAGGCUGCAACUCGCCUACAUGAAGUCGGAAUCGCUAGUAAUCGCGGAUCAGCACGCCGCGGUGAAUACGUUCCCGGGCCU
rnacentral:rRNA from 1 species